rfam:Camelus ferus unplaced genomic scaffold scaffold2798, whole genome shotgun sequence.
GAGGGUAUAGCUCAGUGGUGGAACACGUGUUUUGCAUGCACAAGGUCCUGGGUUUAUUCCCCAGUACCUCCA